GACGAACGCUGGCGGCGUGCUUAACACAUGCAAGUCGAACGGAAAGGCCCUGCUUUUGUGGGGUGCUCGAGUGGCGAACGGGUGAGUAACACGUGAGUAACCUGCCCUUGACUUUGGGAUAACUUCAGGAAAAUGGGGCUAAUACCGGAUAGGAGCUUCUGCUGCACGGUGGGGGUUGGAAAGUUUCGGCGGUUGGGGAUGGACUCGCGGCUUAUCAGCUUGUUGGUGGGGUAGUGGCUUACCAAGGCUUUGACGGGUAGCCCGCCUGGGAGGGUGACCGGCCACAUUGGGACUGAGAUACGGCCCAGACUCCUACGGGACGCAGCAGUGGGGAAUAUUGCACAAUGGGCGGAAGCCUGAUGCAGCAACGCCGCGUUCGGGAUGACGGCCUUCGGGUUGUAAACCGCUUUCGCCUGUGACGAAGCGUGAGUGACGGUAAUGGGUAAAGAAGCACCGGCUAACUACGUG
rnacentral:rRNA from 1 species